AGACUACAGGUUUCUCCAUGGAGCAGCACAGAGGGUGAACAAAGGCAGGAAAGCUGUUCAAUACACAAGAAAAUAACACACACACUGUUUCCACGGUAUCUCACGGCAGACAUAACUUCCUAAGCCCACCCACAUCUGCACAGGAACAAAAUUGGAGCUGAAGAAGCAAAAGAGUAAGCUGCACCCUUCUUAUUUCUGGUCUCUAGAGCUGGGAUUCUUGACUAACGAUGGAAGGGGAAGCAGUGAGAUAUGAAAUGGAUAUGAGAUUAAAGUUUCCAGCAGGACUGAAUUUUAAUAACUGAAAGGACUGGAAAGUGAUGCAGUCUACUCAAGAUAUUAAGAUAUGGAAAAUAGAGAUUUAACAGAGCAUAAUUAAAAGCAGAGUUUGGAGAAAAUUAAAAUCCAACACUUCCCAAGACAUUUCCAGCUCAAAGAAAACAGAUACUCACAGUGUAGCUGUUCACAGAAAA
rnacentral:lncRNA from 10 species